rnacentral:lncRNA from 1 species
ACUAAUUACAUUCACGUGGAAACUAUUUUACCAGUGGUGGCAUGGUAAUAUAGAGUCACUGAAGAUCGGUUAUCUUUACUGCCAUUUGAGUGACUCCCCUGAUUACCAUGUUCACGUAGAUAGUGCCUUUCGCUGAGUGAACAAAGUGGCAUCGCGUUAGCCUGCACGCUUGCAAAUGACAUGAUUGUAACUAAAGUUCGAUCCAUCAUUCGUAUGUAUAUGCGGGAAUGGAAUGACAGGUUUAGUUUAUGACAAAGUUGAGAUUCAUCAAAGAUGCAAAUUUCAUUGGAAUUUUUGAGUAUUGGAUUUGAGGUUCUCUUUGAAGUUCUAUGCAAAGACGGAAAGAUGGCACUCGCAGCAGUACAACGGCAAAAGAUCUUAUCUAUUUGCUUUGUGCAAUUUAGUGUCGCGUUGUUAGAAGAUCUAAUUUGUUAACGUAGUACUUUUAGGUAAUAAACGUGUCUAUUUCUAUGAA